rnacentral:rRNA from 1 species
GAUCCUGGCUCAGAAGGAACGCUGGCACUCUUGCAUAACACAUGCAAGUCGAACGGUAGUAGUAUCUUCGGAUACUAUGAGAGUGGCGAACGGGUGAGUAACACGUAAGAAUCUACCUUUAGGACGGGGAUAACUUCUGGAAACGGACGCUAAUACCCGAUAUGCUGUGGAGUGAAAUGAAUUUCGCCUAAAGAUGAUCUUGCGUCUGAUUAGCUAGAUAGGGUGGUAAUGGCGCCCUAUGGCGACGAUCAGUAGCUGGUCUGAGAGGAUGAUCAGCCACACUGGGACUGAGACACGGCCCAGACUCCUACGGGAGGCAGCAGUGGGGAAUUUUCCGCAAUGGGCGAAAGCCUGACGGAGCAACGCCGCGUGAGGGANGAAGGCCUCUGGGCUGUAAACCUCUUUUAUCAAGGAAGAAGAUCUGACGGUACUUGAUGAAUAAGCCACGGCUAAU